AUUGAACGCUGGCGGCAGGCCUAACACAUGCAAGUCGAACGAGUGGCGGACGGGUGAGUAAUGUCUGGGAAACUGCCUGAUGGAGGGGGAUAACUACUGGAAACGGUAGCUAAUACCGCAUACUAUCAGAUUAGCCUAGGUCGGAUUAGCUAGUUGGUGUGGUAAAGGCCUACCAAGGCGACGAUCCGUAACUGGUCUGAGAGGAUGAUCAGUCACACUGGAACUGAGACACGGUCCAGACUCCUACGUGAGGCAGCAGUGGGGAGUAUUGCACAAUGGGCGCAAGCCUGAUGCAGCCAUGCCGCGUGUAUGAAGAAGGCCUUCGGGUUGUAAAGUACUUUCAGCGGGGAGGCGUUACCCGCAGAAGAAGCAACGGCGAACGCCGUGCCAGCCGCCGCGGUAAUAC
rnacentral:rRNA from 1 species